ACGGCUCAGUAACACGUGGCUAAUCUGCCCUUGGGACGAGAACAACCCCGGGAAACUGGGGCUAACUCUCGAUAGGUGAAGAACACUGGAAUGUGUCUCCACCCAAAUAGUCCAGCGUUAUGCUCGUUGGAUCGCCCAAGGAUGAGGCCGCGACCGAUCAGGUUGUUGGCGAGGUAAUGGCUCACCAAGCCUUUUACCGGUGCGGGCCGUGGGAGCGGGAGCCCGGAGAUGGGCACUGAGACAAGGGCCCAGGCCCUACGGGGCGCAGCAGUCGCGAAAACUUUGCAAUAAGCGAAAGCUUGACAGGGCUAUCCCGAGUGCCAUCCGCUGAGGAAGGCUUUUACCCAGUCUAGAACGCUGGGGGAAUAAGGAGAGGGCAAGUCUGGUGUCAGCCGCCGCGGUAAUACCAGCUCUCCGAGUGGUGUAGAUGUUUAUUGGGCCUAAAGCAUCCGUAGCUGGCUAAGUUAGUCCCUUGUUAAAUCCACCGAAUUAAUCGUUGGAUUGCGGGGGAUACUGCUUGGCUAGGGGACGAGAGAGGCAGACGGUAUUUUCGGGGUAGGGGUGAAAUCCUAUAAUCCCGGGAAGACCACCAGUGGCGAAGGCUGUCUGCUAGAACGCGCCCGACGGUGAGGGAUGAAAGCUGGGGGAGCGAACCGGAUUAGAUACCCGGGUAGUCCCAGCUGUAAACGAUGCAGGCUAGGUGUUUGGACGGCCACGUGCCGUUCUAGUGCCGCAGGGGAGCUGUUAAGCCUGCCGCCUGGGGAGUACGAUCGCAAGAUUGAAACUUAAAGGAAUUGGCGGGGGAG
rnacentral:rRNA from 1 species